rnacentral:rRNA from 1 species
GGAUAACUAUUGGAAACGAUAGCUAAGACCGCAUAGGUGUCAUAACCGCAUGGAGAUGAUAUGAAAUAUGCUACGGCAUAGGUAGAGGAUGGACUUAUGGCGCAUUAGCUAGUUGGAGGGGUAACGGCCCACCAAGGCGACGAUGCGUAGCCGACCUGAGAGGGUGACCGGCCACACUGGGACUGAGACACGGCCCAGACUCCUACGGGAGGCAGCAGUAGGGAAUUUUCGGCAAUGGGGGAAACCCUGACCGAGCAACGCCGCGUGAAGGAAGAAGUAAUUCGUUAUGUAAACUUCUGUCAUAGAGGAAGAACGGUGCGUGUAGGGAAUGACAUGCAAGUGACGGUACUCUAUAAGAAAGCCACGGCUAACUACGUGCCAGCAGCCGCGGUAAUACGUAGGUGGCGAGCGUUAUCCGGAAUUAUUGGGCGUAAAGAGGGAGCAGGCGGCACUAAGGGUCUGUGGUGAAAGAUCGAAGCUUAACUUCGGUAAGCCAUGGAAACCGUAGAGCUAGAGUGUGUGAGAGGAUCGUGGAAUUCCAUGUGUAGCGGUGAAAUGCGUAGAUAUAUGGAGGAACACCAGUGGCGAAGGCGACGAUCUGGCGCAUAACUGACGCUCAGUCCCGAAAGCGUGGGGAGCAAAUAGGAUUAGAUACCCUAGUAGUCCACGCCGUAAACGAUGAGUACUAAGUGUUGGGAGUCAAAUCUCAGUGCUGCAG